rnacentral:lncRNA from 1 species
GCACUCAAAUAUGCUCAAAUCUAAUAAAUUCGCAGAAAAGUCCUCCAAAGCACUUUUGUGAACCUGCAUCUAAUUUGAUACAAUUUGAUCUUCUCCAUAUUAUUUUUGAGCAACUAAACUCAAGAAUUACAUUAAACCAACUCCGCUAUAGCUUAAACUCAUUUGAAUCCAACUAAAAUUGCUGAGCAAAAAAUUACUUCUAAAUUUUAUUUUUUAUUAUCAAAAUUACCGUUUGAUUAUGUUGGAAAUAAUAAUCCAAACUCAACAAUUGGUAGCAGAGAAAAUCACGCUUUCAACAGAUUAAAUUCAACAGAUGCUUAACUUACACUAAACAAUUCGCAAUUCGUUAACUGGAGUUAAAAGCCGCGCCUCUUAAUGAAAUAAACGAAGCGGGUAGCGUGCUACCUAUCUCUCUCUCAAAAAAAAAAAAAAAAAA